rnacentral:rRNA from 1 species
UACGUAGGGGGCUAGCGUUGUCCGGAAUCAUUGGGCGUAAAGAGCGCGUAGGCGGCUCGGUAAGUCCGCUGUGAAAGUCCAGGGCUCAACCCUGGAAUGCCAGUGGAAACUGUCGAGCUAGAGUCCGGAAGAGGCGAGUGGAAUUCCUGGUGUAGCGGUGAAAUGCGCAGAUAUCGGGAAGAACACCCGUGGCGAAGGCGGCACUCUGGGACGGUACUGACGCUGAGACGCGAAAGCGUGGGGAGCGAACAGG